UAAGCGGAGGAAAAGAAACUAACAAGGAUUCUCCUAGUAACGGCGAGUGAAGCGGGAAGAGCUCAAAUUUGAAAUCUGGUAGCCUUCGGUUGCCCGAGUUGUAAUCUAGAGAAGUGUUUUCCGUGCCGGCCCAUGUACAAGUCCCUUGGAACAGGGCGUCAUAGAGGGUGAGAAUCCCGUCCUUGACAUGGACCCCCGGUGCUUUGUGAUACACUUUCAACGAGUCGAGUUGUUUGGGAAUGCAGCUCAAAAUGGGUGGUGAAUUCCAUCUAAAGCUAAAUAUUGGCGAGAGACCGAUAGCGAACAAGUACCGUGAGGGAAAGAUGAAAAGCACUUUGGAAAGAGAGUUAAACAGUACGUGAAAUUGUUGAAAGGGAAACGAUUGAAGUCAGUCAUGCUCUUGGGACUUACCUCCCUUGAGUGGGGUCAACAUCAGUUUUGAUCGAUGGAUAAAGGCACGGGGAAGGUAGCACUCUCGGGUGAACUUAUAGCCUCGCGUCAUAUACAUUGAUUGGGACUGAGGAACGCAGCAUGCCUUUUGGCCGGGAUUCGUCCACGUACAUGCUUAGGAUGUUACAUAAGGCUUUAAACG
rnacentral:rRNA from 1 species